GACGAACGCUGGCGGCGUGCUUAACACAUGCAAGUCGAACGAUGAAGCUGGAGCUUGCUCUGGUGGAUUAGUGGCGAACGGGUGAGUAACACGUGAGUAACCUGCCCUGGACUCUGGGAUAACCCCGAGAAAUCGGAGCUAAUACCGGAUAGGACCUCGGAUCGCAUGAUCUGGGGUGGAAAGUUUUUCGGUCUGGGAUGGACUCGCGGCCUAUCAGCUUGUUGGUGAGGUAAUGGCUCACCAAGGCGUCGACGGGUAGCCGGCCUGAGGGGGGGACCGGCCACACUGGGACUGAGACACGGCCCAGACUCCUACGGGAGGCAGCAGUGGGGAAUAUUGCACAAGGGGCGCAAGCCUGAUGCAGCAACGCCGCGUGCGGGAUGACGGCCUUCGGGUUGUAAACCGCUUUUAGUAAGGAAGAAGCCGCAAGGUGACGGUACUUGCAGAAAAAGGACCGGCUAACUACGUGCCAGCCGCCGCCGUAAAAC
rnacentral:rRNA from 1 species